GAUCAGUAGUGGAGCCCAGUUGGGGUCGAUCGUGGACCUUUGUUGCAUUUGGGGUUCUUCUUUUAUUUUGGUGCCGUAGUCGGACCAUGAGUGUAUUUGAUUAAUGUAAUGUUUAUUCCUGUAAUUGUGUGAAGUGGCGAUUGUAAGACAACUAUGUAUCUCUUUCCCUUAUGUAUUACAUGUGUUGUGUAAAGAUUACCUCACUUGCGACAUAUGCCUUUAAUGCGAUUAUGUCUCUAAGUCGUGCCUCGACACGUGGGAGCUAUAGUCGCAUCAAGGGUGUUACAAGUUGGUAAUCAGAGCCUUCCCCGACCUUAGGAGCCCCAUUGCUUGAUCGUUUUUAGCGGCCGAGUUGUGUCUAGAAAAAUGUUUUGAGUCAUUUAGGAAUUAUAUAUCGGAGAGCUUAGGAAUUCUUUUUACUCCCCAGUCUCCUCAUCGCUCUGGUAAGGCAUCCUGACGUAGAGUUUUGACUCUUCUCUUCUCAAAUUUCACUAAAAAAAAUUUAGGAUCAUGCGGGUAUCUUGGAAUCGUUCCGAUGGUUUUAUGAUGAGAACAUUGUCUUGGUGCCUCCUGUCAGGGGUUUUGUGGAAGUGUCCCGUGGAGUUGAGCUCUGAGGUGUUGUCGUCAUAAUUUUAUCGUUGCAGUUCUGGAAUACCUGAGUUUAGUACGCGGACAUCGAAAAUCUCUUUUAUGCAGUUCGUUGGUGACAUAACCUCGACGCCACCCAGUACUAGGGCGGGAGUUCGGGAGUAUCGCCAUAACUUGUAUAAUGGAUGCUUUUCGAAGGUUGAGGUAGAUGAUUUCUGAAGGCUUCUUGGUUAUGUGUUGAGGGAUGGAUACAACUGGAUGCAGGAUUUGCUAGAUUUGGGUGAGAUAUUAUGCUUCCCCUGUAUCCCCAACACCUGAUUGCAUAACCGGAAAAUUUCAGGAGUUUCAUAGGUGGGAAUUCAAGUAGCUCUUAGGAUAUCUUUCCGACAGAUGUAUGAUAUGAAAUUGGGGUUCGACUUCUAGUGGUCCGCCUAUUCACGGUCGGUUUUACAGUGGUCUCGUUGUGUCUUAAAGAGUCCUUGGCUAUGCCGACUUGGGGACGCUUCGUAUGUCAUGUGCACUACCUUGUACAUGAUGGUGCUGUACGAUCGAGCCCGUGUAGGCCCCACCACGAAAACUUCAGACGAAAUCUCUAUCAUAUGUUUGUUCCAGCUUAUUUUGCAAGCCAACCCUUUGUUUGUGUUUUGAGUUGUGGUAUUCGAGUUGCUUCGAAGUCAAGUGUUGAUUCCAUACCUUUCCUAAACGGUAUUCUCAUACUUCGAUGUGAAUACAAAUCUUUCUUGAUCAUCGAGAUUGUCAUGUCAAUCCUUUUCCACCAGCGUGUUUCUUUUCAAGUGGAUCCGAGCAUUUCAACAUCCGCAAGAUCAAUAUUUAGUUCUUCUCAACGGUGCUUAUUUCAUCCGUCCCAAGUUGCCUUUGUUUUCCCUCCCUCCCACCCUUGUUUCUUCGAGGAACCAUAUUUCUUAUUCAAGUAUCCUUUUAUUCAUGUGAAGUCUCCCCAUUCUUUUCCGGCAAUGUUCUUAUCCGUUGAUUCUCAGGAAGAUGCCAACGAAGCUUCAAGUUCGUCACUCUUCACUCGUUUUCUCCCCCAAUGGAUUCAAAUCAAGCUUUUGGUGUUGAUCUCAUAUUCUUUUCCUUGUUUCAAAUACUUUCUCAUGCCGGUGCAAUUCUUAAUCGUUCACCUCUCGCUAUUCUAUUGUCCCGGAGUGCUCAAGAUAUCUCAGAAGGCUCGUUUUUUUCAUUCAAGAUCAGUUCAACCUAUUUCGAGGUUGUUAUCUCUUUCAAGUCAUUUAAUUCAACCGGUGCAAUAUCUUUCAAGUAAUCUUUUCAACGGUGUUUCUUUUGAGUGGACCCUAACCCAUAGGUCUUUUCCCAGGAUCUUACCUGACUCUUCUUAUUUAACCGGAGCUAUCAUAAAUUCCUUUUAAAGUUUGACAUAAGAAUGAACUAUCAUCAGUCAAAUGUAUUUCUCCAAGAUCUCUCAAAUUCUUUUCAUUGUGGUUCAACCUUUCUAGUCUUCAUCCCGGAGUAUCUCAUCAAUCCAUGGUGGUCUUUAUCAUCGUCAUUCUCUGCAGUUGAAGACCGAAGAAGAGUUUCUUUUAAAUCUUGCUCCAUUCUCUGCCAUUCUGUCAUAAUUGUUUUUGAUUGUGGGAAUUCUUUUCAUCCAUCCGGAGUAAUUCAAGAGUCUUCUCGGUUUGAUUAUCCGGAGUCCAUCAAUUCAGGUGUACUCAUUCUCAGCCUUCAGUUGUCAUUCUCCAAUCUUACCGGUGCUUCAAGUGAUAUCUAAUCAGUUCGUGAUCCCUUCGUUCUCGUGGGUCUAAAUUCUCUCAAGCAUCUUCAUUCAUUUUCUAAUUCUUCCCAGUGUCUUCCUUAUAUUUUCUUUGUUCACUUUUAAUUUUUACGGUGGUUCGUUCAAGAGUUUUUUUCUUCUUCCUUCGUGUAUCAUAUCUAUGCAUCCGUGCUUUUCAAAUUCUACCGGUGGUUCGUUGAAGACCUUCUUAAAUUUGCGCUAUAUCUAUCUUAAUCUUUUCUACGAGAAUAAGUAGUAUGCCAAAUCCAUUAUUUGUCAUCAAUUUAAUUGGUGAAGGAUAAACAUAAUGUAAUUCUUAUUCUUGUUUCGUCGAGUUUAUUCAAUUCCUGUUUUCCGGAGUGGCUCAUCAUACUUUUCUUGGCUUCAAGUGCUCAUCUUUCUUUCCCGGAGUUCCAAGCUCUAAUUAUCACGGAGAUCCAUCUAAAUCAUUACAAGGUUUCACCUUGUGUUUUCAACUUCUCUCUCUUUUCGUUAUCUUUUGUUUACCGGAGACCUUCAUCAAGGUUCUACAUGAUGGUUCAUCAAGGAUUUAAUUUCUUCUCGAAGUGUUCAUCAAUAUUCUGUUCAGGGGAACACAAGCUUUCAUCAUCUUCCUACCCGGAGUGCAAUUCUUUCUUCCAUAUUAUUGGAGAUGGUAUUAUGUCAUUCUUGAUAAUUUGAGCUCAUGUUUCAUGAUUCACAUGUUGUUAAGAAUGAGGUAUUUUAAAUCCAUCAAUCUCGUCAUUGGAAUUAUCUUGGGUUAUAUUUCACCUAAAGCCUCCCCUAUGGCUUGUUGCUAUCUAUGUUGUUUAUAAAUGACCCAAGUUAUUCAUCUAUCCUCCGGUGAAUUAAGCUUCUCAUCUCCUUGUUGUUAUCAAUCUAAUAUAUCGUUUCUGUUAGUGGCAGAAUUUCACCUCUUAGUUUUGAGAUGUUUUCCAUAAGCCCACUACAAACUUAUUCUUUCAUUGUUGGUUUUCCAACAACUCUAUUCUAGCAUUUGUUGUAACCGUGCUCUCUCAAGAUCUUGUUUCCCUGUGUUCCGGAGGCAUUGUGAUGUUGCUCUCUGCAACCCAACUUCUUGUUUUGUCAGGAUCGUGUUUUUUUUCCUCCUUAUCCUUUUAACCAGAGUAUUGUGUCCUUUUGCUCAAGCUCUUUCAUUUUAUCAAGUAUUUCAUCUCUUUUAAACCGGAGUGCUGUCUGAGAUCUUUCUUAGCCCUUGUUCCAUUCAUUCAAUACUUCCGGAGGAUGUAUGUUGUGAUUUCAUCAAGUGUCCUCUCAUCUUAUCAAGUUCUUAUUCAAUUUCAGUUAUUUUCAACCGGAGUGCUGCCCGAAGUUGUUCUUCCUUGUUCCUCUUUUCUAACAGAGUGCUUUCAACUUUGUUCUUCUCCGUUGUUUUAUUUCUUUCAAUUUGUUCAACCUUCUCAAGGUUCUUUGGUUUCACUCGUUUGUCAAAGAAGCAAUUUGUUUUACCUCUUCUCUUUCUCUUCCGUUUUUUCCUCCGGGGCCAUUCUAGAUCUUGGGACGAGAUCCUCUCAUAGUGGUGGAGUGUUGUAACGCCCCGAGACCGAUGUGCCAGGUGUCCUCCAGUUAUUCGCUGUUGUUGCUUUAUCAUUUGCUUGCGUGUUGCAUCUUAUCUUGUCAUCAUGUGCAUUGCAUCAUCAUGUUUUCAAAACUUGCAUCUGUCCCGGUCUCCUCGUUCUCUCCGUUGUCCGUUCUGAGCCCAACCACACUUGCACGCGCCCGCGACUUGUCCGAAAUAUUAUUUUAUUAGUGGCCGGAAAAUGUUCUCGGAAUGGGAUGAAAGUUGGCGUGUGGUGUUGUUUUGUUGUCAGUAGACCACCUGCCAAGUUUCAUCGCGUUCGGAGUUCGUUUGAUAGCCCAACGGUUAACUAUAGCGACAAUAUAGUCGGUCUAUAACGUCGGACGUUUUCGGUCUCCGAAAACUGUUGUCGGGCUUUCCCUCUCUUCUCUUCUCUCAGCUCGAGACCGUCUACACAACUCACUACCUACCGCCAGGUCCAAUCCUAACCCCUCUCGUCAGCCCGCAGCCCCCCUCGCGCGCGUCCGAAAUCUGUCCAGGACCCGACCCGGACAGUCGUUACCGUUGUGUCCGGAUCAGCCCCAAAGAUCUACAAAACGUCACCAUUUUCUUAUUUGGACUCCCUAGCUAUUUUUUCGCGACCAUCCGAUUACGAUGAGAGGGACGAGUUAGUCCCUGGACUUCCCCUCUUUUUCCUUAUAUAAAAACUCCGUAGUCUAAAUUUGAACAAACCCUAAAUUCUAGGCUGUUUGUCCCCCCUAGCCGCCGCCACCUACAGCCUUCCCCCUCCUCGGAUCAGCCGCAUCUACCCACUCGCCUUGCACUUUGGGAUCCUCCCAAAUCCAUCCCGGGCCAAUCAUCAUCUCCCCUCGAUCCAUCCAUCCAACCACGCCGCAGCCAGCCACGAGCGAGCGCCCGAGCCCCCUGUCGAGCUCUUCCGCUGCUCGUGCAACAGCACCUCGUUUUCGCCACCAUGAGCCGCCAGGACCGGCCUCGUCCCUCUCCCUCCCUUCGUUCUCCUCCUCCCAUCACCUCUCUCUCCCUCUCAGUACUCUCUCUCUCCCUCUCAGGUGCCCGUAGCCGCCGCCCAGGGAGUUCGCCGUUGCCCCCGUCUUCGCCAGAUCCGGCCGGGAUCCACCGGAUCUGGGUGCCCCGCCGUUGUCCUGCCCGUGUUCGGACUCCCCUGCCGCUGCCUCGCCCGGAUCAGGCGGAUCCGGCGAGCUGUUCGCCGCUGCCGUCCGCAUCAGAUGCUUGCUCGUUCUUCGCUUCAGGGACGAGUCGAGCGCUGCCCCGUUGACCGCCCUUUUCCUUCGCCUGCUCGACCGCGCCCCCUGGGCCGCCUCCACCGGCAAUCGCCAAGGCCCAGGCACUUCCUCCCCAGCCAGCCUCCUUCACCAACGGGCCGAAGCCCAUGGUGAGCAGCCGCCUAGAUCCCAUGCACUGUUGGGCCGGCCUUUGUUGCGACCCAUAUCUGUUUUUUUUUCAGUAUGCGUAUUUGUCUAUUUUUUUCCAGUUAACAUGUUUUACAGUUUAGCCCUUCAAGUCCAUGCAUUUAAUAACUUAAUAACCGUGCACCAUAUUAAAAUGAUUUAUAUAUGACAGUUGCUUAGAAUUUUGUCUAGUUUAAUAAUAUCCAACUUUCAUCUAUGUUUAAAAUAUUUAAAAAGUUGUUUGCAUUAAUUUGCUCCUAUGCCAUGUUAAAAUGAUUUAAUUCAUAACUAAAUAACCCUAACUCUGAUUUUAAUAAAUUUUAUAUGUAAAUGGGGUAGAAUUUUGCCUAGUUUAACUUGGUGGCAUCAUCUUACAUGUUUAACAACUCUAAAAUAAUGUUUAGGGCAGAACAGUACCAAACCUUAAAUUAUGCAUAUGAGGAUUUUCAGGAAUUGUUGUCCGUUGCUUCCGGCCUCAUUUAAAGUUGCCUAGAUAGGUAGUUUUGUUGUGCUUCGCCUCUUGCCAUGUUAAUCAACAUUUAAUAUUGUUGGGGUACAUAAACGAGAGAGAACUAAAUAAUUGAUUUGGUGUUUUGUCAAUAUGCGUCCCGAUGCAUAUUGAGCUCCACUUAAUUUGUAGGAUUGCUUGUGCACUUUGCCAUGCCAUGCUUCAUUAAACCGGACAUGCAUCAUACUCGAUUGUGCAUCAUGCCAUGUUGAUGUGUUGGUUGUUUACUAUGUUGUGUGCUUCUUUUCCGGUGAUUGCUUCUUCGGGUUGGUUCUGAUAACAUCGUGUUGUGAGGAUUCGUUCGACUACGUCCGUUUGUCUUCUUCAUGGACUCUUUCUUCUUCCUUGCGGGAUUUCAGGCAAGAUGAUCAUACCCUCGAAAUCACUACUAUCUUUGCUAUGCUAGUUUGCUCGCUCUUGCUAUGCCAAUGCUACGAUGCCUACCAUUUGCUUGUCAGCCUCCCAAAUUGCCAUGUCAAACCUCUAACCCACCAUGUCCUAGCAAACUGUUGAUUGGCUAUGUUACCGCUUUGCUCAGCCCCUCUUAUAGCGUUGUUAGUUGCAGGUGAAGAUUGAAGUUUGUUCCUUGUUGGAACAUGGAGAUGUUGUUCCUUGUUAGAACAUGUUUACUUGUUGGGAUAUCACUAUAUAUCUUAUUUAAUUAAUGCAUCUAUAUACUUGGUAAAGGGUGGAAGGCUCAUCAUUAUGCCUGGUGUUUUGUUCCACUCUUGCCGCCCUAGUUUCCGUCAUAUCGGUGUUAUGUUCCCGGAUUUUGCGUCCCUUACGUGGUUGGGCUAUAAUGGGAACCCCUUGACAGUUCGCCUUAAGUAAAGCUCCUCCAGCAAUGCCCAAUCUUGGUUUUACCAUUUGCCUCACCACCACCUACUUUUCCCUUGGGAGUCGCUCUCUCGAGGGUCAUCUUUAUUUUAACCCCCCUCCCCCGGGCCAGUGCUUGUCUAAGUGUUGGUCCGAAAUGGGCAGCCUGCGAGGCCACCUCGGGGAAACUUGAGGGCUGGUUUUACUCGUAGCUUGACCUAUCCGGUGUUGCCCUGAGAACGAGAUAUGUGCAGCUCCCAUCAGGAUGUCGGCGCAUCGGGCGGUGUUGCUGGUUUAGUUUUACCCUGUCGAAAUGUCUUGUUGUACCGGGAUACCGAGUCUGAUCGGAAUGUCUCGGGUGGAGGUCUAUUCCUUCGUUGACCGUGAGAGCUUGUGAUGGGCUAAGUUGGGACACCCCUGCAGGGAUUGAACUUUCGAAAGCCGUGCCCGCGGUUAUGGGCAGAUGGGAAUUUGUUAACGUCCGAUUGUAGAAAACCUGAAGUCGACCUUAAUUAAAAUGAAUCAACAGCGUGUGUAACCAUGAUGGUCUCUUUCCGGCGGAGUCCGGGAAGUGAACACGGUUGUUGGAGUUAUGCUUGACGUAGGUUGUUAUAGGAUCACUUCUUGAUCAUACUUUUAUCGACCAUGCUUUGCCUUCUCUUCUCGCUCUCAUUUGCGUAUGUUAGCCACCAUAUAUGCUAGUCGCUUGCUGCGGCUCCACCUCAUACCUUUACCUUACCCAUAAGCUUAAAUAGUCUUGAUCGCGAGGGUGCGAGAUUGCUGAGUCCCUGUGGCUCACAGAUACUUCCAAAACCAGCUUGCAGGUGCCGAUGAGUUCGUGCAGAUGACGCAACCAAGCUCAGGAGGAGCUCGAUGAAGACCUUGUCCUUUGUGUUGUUUUCCGUUCUAGUUGAUCAGUAGUGGAGCCCAGUUGGAGUCGAUCGUGGACCUUUGUCGCAUUUGGGGUUCUUCUUUUAUUUUGGUGCCGUAGUCGGACCAUGAGUGUAUUUGAUUGAUGUAAUGUUUAUUCAUGUAAUUGUGUGAAGUGGCGAUUGUAAGCCAACUAUGUAUCUCUUUCCCUUAUGUAUUACAUGGGUUGUGUAAAGAUUACCUCACUUGCGACAUAUGCCUUCAAUGCGAUUAUGUCUCUAAGUCGUGCCUCGACACGUGGGAGCUAU
rnacentral:lncRNA from 1 species